UCUGUAGCAAGGUUAACCGUAUAGGGGAGCCGGAGGGAAACCGAGUCUUAACCGGGCGUUAAGUUGCAGGGUAUAGACCCGAAACCCGGUGAUCUAGCCAUGGGCAGGUUGAAGGUUGGGUAACACUAACUGGAGGACCGAACCGACUAAUGUUGAAAAAUUAGCGGAUGACCUGUGGCUGGGGGUGAAAGGCCAAUCAAACCGGGAGAUAGCUGGUUCUCCCCGAAAGCUAUUUAGGUAGCGCCUCGUGAACUCAUCUCCGGGGGUAGAGC
rnacentral:rRNA from 2 species